CCUACGGGGGGCAGCAGUGGGGAAUAUUGCACAAUGGGCGCAAGCCUGAUGCAGCCAUGCCGCGUGUGUGAAGAAGGCCUUCGGGUUGUAAAGCACUUUCAGCGGGGAGGAAGGCGGUGAGGUUAAUAACCUCAUCGAUUGACGUUACCCGCAGAAGAAGCACCGGCUAACUCCGUGCCAGCAGCCGCGGUAAUACGGAGGGUGCAAGCGUUAAUCGGAAUUACUGGGCGUAAAGCGCACGCAGGCGGUCUGUCAAGUCGGAUGUGAGAUCCCCGGGCUCAACCUGGGAACUGCAUUCGAAACUGGCAGGCUAGAGUCUUGUAGAGGGGGGUAGAAUUCCAGGUGUAGCGGUGAAAUGCGUAGAGAGCUGGAGGAAUACCGGUGGCGAAGGCGGCCCCCUGGACAAAGACUGACGCUCAGGUGCGAAAGCGUGGGGAGCAAACAGGAUUAGAUACCCGGGUAGUC
rnacentral:rRNA from 1 species